GACGAACGCUGGCGGCGUGCUUAACCCAUGCAAGUCGAACGAAGUGGCGAACGGUUGAGUAACGCGUAAUCAACCUGCCCUUCAGAGGGGGACAACAGUUGGAAACGACUGCUAAUACCGCAUACUGAAGGAGGGGAUUGCGUCUGGUUAGCCCGUUGGAGGGGUAACGGGCCACCAAGGCGAAGGUCAGUAGCCGGGCUGAGAGGAUGGACGACCACAUUGGGGCUGGGGAACGGCCCAGAAUCCUACGGGGGGCAGCAGUGGGGGAUCUUCCGCAAUGGGCGAAAGUCUGACGGAGCAACGCCGGGUGAGUGAUGACGGCCUUCGGGUUGUAAAGCUCUGUUAAUCGGGACGCGGUACCGGAAUAGAAAGCCACGGCUAACUACGUGCCAGCAGCCGCGGUAAUAC
rnacentral:rRNA from 1 species